AACGAACGCUGGCGGCGUGCUUAACACAUGCAAGUCGUACGAGAAAGUUCCGGCAACGGAAUGAGUAAAGUGGCGCACGGGUGAGUAACACGUGGGUAAUAUACCUUUAAGUUGAGAAUAACCUUGCGAAAGUGGGGCUAAUACUCAAUAAGACCACAAUAACUUUGGUUGUUGCGGUAAAAGAGGGCCUCUGAUUCAAGCUUUCACUUAAAGAGAAGCCCGCGUACCAUUAGCUAGUUGGUAAGGUAAUGGCUUACCAAGGCGACGAUGGUUAGCUGGUCUGAGAGGAUGAUCAGCCACACUGAAACUGGAGCACGGUCCAGACUCCUACGGGAGGCAGCAGUGGGGAAUCUUGCGCAAUGGGGGAAACCCUGACGCAGCAACGCCGUGUGAGCGAUGAAGGCUUUCGGGUCGUAAAGCUCUGUUAGGUGGAAAGAACCUUUUCUGAAUGAAUAAAUCAGUAAAUUGACGGUACCACCAGAGGAAGCACCGGCAAACUCCGUGCCAGCAGCCGCGGUAAGAC
rnacentral:rRNA from 1 species